rnacentral:tRNA from 1 species
AGGUAUUUAGCUCAGUGGUAGAGCGCAUGCUUAGCAUGCAUGAGGUCCUGGAUUCAAUCCCCAGCAUCUCCA